CACCUGCCCUCUCCUCUCCUCACCUGCUCUCCUAACCUAUUCUUUCUUUAUUUCUUUCUUUCUCAAAUGGUUAACCUUUUAACCUUUUCACACUCUCCAUACCCUUUGUUGUAAAACCAUGAUAUUUUUGCUCUCCACUUCUCUCCAUAUUCUCUCCUCCAGUCACUACAUUCUAUUUCAGGAUGUUCGUGUAGUUCAUGGUGCCACACGUCCCCUCUCUGAAGUUGAACUGACCCCAUGGGACUCGGUUUAAUGACUAACUGAUCAGAUUAUCACCUGCCUAGCCCCAACUCUCGUGUGUGUGUGUGUGUGUGUGUGUGUGUGUGUGUGUGUGUGUGAAUCAAACAGAGAGGGAUCAAGGAGAUGAGGUGGUGUUCAUGUAGUGUGCUAAGUGGAUUUAUCACACGUCACAUCGUCAGGACUGCAGUGGUUCACGAUUCAGGCAAAACGCUCUAAUCCUGGCUUCAACAUUUCACAGAUUGUCAAAUAUUUUUGAAAAUCUUUUUUUUUUUUUUUUUAAACUAAAUAUUUGAUGGCACACUGCAUUAGACAGCAGAAAAAGGCUGUGUGUGUAUUGUUUCAUCAUUGUUUUAUAACUCUAGAAUUAUUUGUACCCUUCAUGCAAAUCAGCAAGCAUGAAUAAUGCAUGGAAAUUUUCAUAUCUUGAACUGAUACAUGUGGCGAUUCUGUUUAGCUUUAAUUUAAUGUAGUUUUUAUUUUUAAAAAAUAAAAUACAACUACAAACUGGUUUCAAAUUUAUCAGGACCCAUACUAUUGAUAUUUUGUUAAUAAUAAAUGAAUAAACAGCACUGAUUCUCUCCGUAAUGAAGACGAGAUUGGAGACACUGGUAGAGGAUCUUGGACCACUCAGGUGAGCAGAACAUUUCCGACUCCUUUAUAUUCUGAGGUUUGCGCUUGUGGACUGUGCUCUAAGGUGCUUUAAGGUUAGUUUGGCCAAGCCUCAAACUAACAGGUUUCAGAUUCAGAUCCUCUAUAGCAAAGCACAUUUUGAGAUCUGCAUACACUUAUGUUGAUCUGGAUGCGGGGGUGGAUUUAUUUAUUUAUUUAGGGGCCCUAUUAAAUUACAAACAUUUACCUCGAUUAUUCUUGAGCUUCCUUUCUCUGUUGUGAUGCUUGCUGCUACACAGCAGUGUCCCCUGGUCGCUGCUGAAUUAACAGCAAUAUAAAUCAUUCCAGUGUUUUAACAUCAAUACUUCAAUUUUCAGCAUGCAUUAUUUAGCAUUAAUAAUUAAAAAAAAAUAUAUAUAUAUAGUUUGCAUUUUUAGGGGUCCCUUGGCUUCUGGGAUCCCAAGGCAGUUGUCUGCUUUUGCCUAGUGCUAAUUCCACCCCUGUAGGGAUGUAUGGGGACAGUGUAUUGAAGAUUCAUCUAUGGCCAAGUUUUUAACCUCUAGCAAAGGCAACCAGAUUGUGAUUAAUACGAUUUUAAAGCAUCAGUGAUCCCCCAGCAUACAUAAUAUCCGGUAUCAGUAUUAUUAUCCUUGUGUGCCCCAUUUAAAAAAAAAAAAAAGCGCCUGCUGGUGUGUGCAGGGCAAAUAAUUUUAGUUUCAGUCUCAACCGAUCACAACACUACUCCAGUGGUAAUUCCUGUGAUGCAUAGUGAAGUCCAGUAGCUGAGCCUCUUUUAAGCAAGUCGUUUAGGAGGCAGCAAAAUAGUGAUUUUGAAAUAUGACAAACUCAAAACAUUAACUGAAAUGUACAUUAAUGAACUAAUUCUAAAGCGCUUUGUAUACUUCUUCAUUCCCCUCACUGUCGCUUUGAUUGGGUGAACACUAUGUUCAUGGUUCCAAUGCUUUUCAAUAUAAACAUGUUUAAACUGUUUAAACUUUAUCAGGGCCUUGAGUGUACUAACUGAUGGGUAUCUGGAGUUUUAUAUGCAACAUAUGAUGGUGCAGGUCAACAAGUAUUGUUCGCUUUAGUGUUUAAAGCUCUUUGUGUGAUGAUGGUUGACGGAUUUUCAAGAACUUCUUUUACUCUUAUAUAUAAUAUAUAAUAUAUAAUAUAAAUAUAAUAUAUCAUUUUAUUUUUUUCUUUUAUCCCUUUUGCUUCCUUGCCCUUUUGGAGCAUUAAAAUAUAAAAUAUUUUCUCUUUUUUUGGAAAGUAUUUUCUGGCUUUCUAUCUGUUUCUUUCUUUGUUUUUAUUCUUUUUUGUUGUUGUUGUCGUGUUCUAUUUUUCCUUCAUUUUUUCUUUUCUUUCGUUUUCUUUUCAUGCUUCUUUUACCAAUACUUUAGCUGGUGUUUUACCCCAAAGGUCCUUUGUCCUUUUCGCAGAUCCAGAUUUCUUUUCUUUUCUUUUUUUUUUUCUUUUUUUUUUUUGAAUCAAACAGAGAAAUUGUUUAAUAUUUAUUUUCUAAAUUCAUUUUCUUUUCUUUUCUUUUUUUUAUUUCCCCAUUCUUUUGAAGGAUGCCAAUAAUUAUGCAAAGGCCUUCAGAAUAUUGCAUCUAAAGAAACCACUGGCAUUUCAG
ensembl:lncRNA